rnacentral:lncRNA from 1 species
AUGAGGGUUCUUUCUCCAGCACGGGAACUCGGGGACACAUUCACAUCAGAGCCAGCCUGGGUUCUUCUCCCUGGUAUUGAUCGAGUGGAAAGAGGUUUCCAUUUAGAGUCCAAGUGCAGCCUUGUAAAUCUUGCUGUCAGCUGUGCGACUGUGUGGUUCAGAAGGACUUGUUCCCCUAUAAGGCAUCUGUCUGGGAAGCCUCUCGCAAGGGCAGAGCAGUUCCUGGCAGUUUGCUUUUUGUGUGUGUGUUGCUGGGGCUGGAAGCCAGGGUCCCCCACACGCAAGCAAGUGCCAGAGCCGAGCUUCUGGGGCACAGAGCAUAGGGUGGGAUGCUUGAAACUGCAUCUGCCAGGUAGGUGGUGUGGCUCCUCCAGACCCCGGGACCAGCAGAGGACCAAGUGGCUUGGCAAAUAAAACAUCCAAGCUCAGAAGCCUGCAAGGACUUGUUAGAGGAUGGGAGACGUGGGGAUAUAGGCCAGGGUUUUCCAUUUUCUGUGGGUUAGGACAUUUAAAGGAAUUGUUUUCAGUUUUUGUUCUGUCUUGCCAACAACCAGAGCUGUACUCCCAGGGCCCAGAGGAUUUCAUACUGCCUCCACACACUGAGUAUUAUUUAGCCUUAACAAGGAUGAGGUUCCGGAGCUGAAGAUGCAGCUCAGUGGUGGAGCGUGCGCUUAGCGCGCGCAUGGCCCUGGCUUCCACCCCAGUACUACGAGGUACAUGCAGUAUGAUUCUGAGACGGACCCCCAUGGUGGACAAGGCUGGAUAACAACAAAAUAAAGUCCUGAUGCAGUAAACUCCUACCCUUCGUGACGUGGUGUGUUGCUGUUUUCAACAGGCUUAAAGGGACCCUGGUAAAGCCAAGUGAGCAGGAUGUGUGCACAAAAUGAGAAGUUGUUACCAAGGAAGAGCCAAAAAAGUGCCCUAGCCUCACUUGCUCCUCGCACAAUUAAAAAGCACAGAUUUUGGAGUCCACACAGCUGGGUGAAUCAGUGUUAGUUUGCCUCUGGCUUUGCUGACGUGUGGGUUAUGAUAACAGGGCCUGGCUUCUUCCCCAGGGAUGGAAGGCUGCUCUCGAUAAAGCACUGACUCCUUACAGGACCUGCCAAUGUCUAAUGGUGGCAAGUGGACUAAAAUCUUGGCAUCCCUGUAUUCAUGUUGUAUCUGUCCCCUCUGCCAGUGUAACCCCUGGGUCAGAGUCUACUCGGCUCUGCAUGUAGGUAUGUUGAUCAUUUAAAAAACAUUUAGUCCAUGUGGUGGCACACACCUGUAAUCCCAGCACUCAGGAGGCUGAGGCAAGAGGAUCAUUGAGAGUUCAAGGCCAGCCUGGGCUACAAAGUGAGCUCAAGGCCAACCUCAACUGCAUAGCGAGACCCUGUCUCAAAAAGAAAAAAAAAAAAACCAACAUUUAGGGGCUGGGAAUUUAGCUCAGCAGCACAGCGCCUGCCUGGCAAGCGCAAGGUCGUGAGUUCGAUUCCCAGUACCAGAAAAAAAAACAAAACAACAAAUACAAACAAAAAACAACAUUUAGUCCAUUCAGCAUGGUGACACACCUCUGCAGUCCCAGUAUUCAGAAGGAGGAGGCAGGAGGAUUGCUAUGAGUUUGAGGCCAGUCAGAACUACAUUGUGAGUUCAAGGCCAGCCUGCAUAGUGAGACCCUACCUCAAAAAACUAAAAUCAAACAAACAAAACCAUUUUAUUUCAGACUGAUCUGACUUUGCUUGGUCUGCUGCCUUAGGGACCUAGUGUGUGUUUUCCUUUCUCUCUCCCCUCUUUUCUACCCCACCCUGCGCUUGCUCAGCAGCGGCAUUUGCCCGAGCACCCAAGGGCCCAGUCCCACCAGGCAUUUUAGGCAGGAUAGUGGUGCUACCACAGAACAUGGGGCCUGGCAAAGCUGGUGGAGAAGUGGGUAAAGUUACAAGGUCCCAAGACAAUGCCAGGACCCUGUAUGUAGAACUUCUUCCAAGUGCCCAUGCAAUGUGAACAACAUACAGAACACAGAUACCACAAGAGCCUGCUAUCGUGACUUCCCACA